AGCAAUUGAAGUAUUUGGGGCUGAUGGGGAAUAUCAGAAUUUUGGUGGCAAAAUGUUCCUUUAGAAUUCCCAAUCAGACAUAAGAUAUUUUACUAAUUUUGUUUGAAUGACAGCUUUGUUUUACUUGUCAUCUUUAGAUGUAAUUAUCUUUAUUUAUUUAUUUGUUUAUUUUUGAGACAGAGUCUUGCUCUGUUGCCCAGGCUGGAGUGCAGUGGCGCAAUCUCAGCUCACUGCAACCUCUGCCUCCCAGGUUCAAGUGAUUCUUAAGCCUCAGCCUCUCAAGUAGCAAGAAUUACAGGUGUGUGCCACCACACCUGGCUAAUAUUUGUGUUUUUAGUAGAGACAGGGUUUCACCAUGUUGGCCAGGCUGGUCUUGAACUCCUGGCCUCAAGUGAUUUGGCCUGCGUCAGCCUCCCAAAGUGCUGGGAUUACAGGCAUGAGCCACUAAGUCUGGCCACAAGAUGAUAUUUAAAUAUCCAUUUUAAGUGUCAGUGUCUUUAUAACUGUGCUAUUCACAAGAUUUUUUACACUGUGUGCAUGUAAUUUCUUUGGCUGGUAUCAGGGUAAUGCUGAUCUCAUAGAAUGAGUUGAAGUGUUCGCUCCUAUUUUCUGAGUUUGUGCAGAAUUGGCAUUAUUUCUUUAUGUUUUUGAUAGAGGUUUUUACCUAUAAAUUCAACUUCUUUGUUAUAUAUAGGACUAUUUGUGUUAUCUGUUUCCUCCUAGGUGAGCUUUGGUGGUUUGUGUGUUUCAAGGAAUUUGUCUAUUUCAUCUUAAGUUGUCAAUUUGGCAUAGAGUUGCUUAUAAUAUUCCCUUAUCAUAUUUUACAAUGUGUACUAAAAAUCAUUGAUAUAGUAUCCUACAAGCACAGUGGGUCUGAGGGAAGGGGAAAAUGUAGAGUUGCAUGUUGAAUGCUGUCUUGCAAUUGUGAGUGCAUUUCUGAGACUGUACUAGCUAUUUGAUCUGAGACAAAGGGGGCCAUCAAGAUGGGCCUGGGGUGGGGGCCAGGCCAGUGGACUCUGGGGGACCUAGGGGGCUGAGGGCAGCCUGUGUAGCAGCAGGGGUAAUAUCAGAGUUGAAGCUCAGAUCUCUCACAAGGCAAGGCCUGUCCUGCAAAUCCUGAUUUGUGCCUUCUUCAAAAAAAAAAAAAAUCUCCACCCCACCACAUAUGACCAGCUUCCAUGGCUUGACUGGCCUUUCUGCUCACCUGCAGGGGAACCUGAUCUCUCGGACAAGGACCACAAGGACCUGGAGGGCCGGCUGAAGGCUCGCGAGGACCUGCUGCUCCCCAUCUACCACCAGGUGGCAGUGCAGUUCGCCGACUUCCACGACACACCUGGCCGGAUGCUGGAGAAGGGCGUCAUAUCUGACAUCCUGGAGUGGAAGACCGCACGCACCUUCCUGUAUUGGCGUCUGCGCCGCCUCCUCCUGGAGGACCAGGUCAAGCAGGAGAUCCUGCAGGCCAGCGGGGAGCUGAGUCACGUGCAUAUCCAGUCCAUGCUGCGCCGCUGGUUCGUGGAGACGGAGGGGGCUGUCAAGGCCUACUUGUGGGACAACAACCAGGUGGUUGUGCAGUGGCUGGAACAGCACUGGCAGGCGGGGGAUGGCCCGCGCUCCACCAUCCGUGAGAACAUCACGUACCUGAAGCACGACUCUGUCCUCAAGACCAUCCGAGGCCUGGUUGAAGAAAACCCCGAGGUGGCCGUGGACUGUGUGAUAUACCUGAGCCAGCACAUCAGCCCAGCUGAGCGGGCGCAGGUCGUUCACCUGCUGUCUACCAUGGACAGCCCGGCCUCCACCUGACCCUGGCCCGCCCGGCCACUCCCGGGACCACGGCAAAAGGAACCACCCAGACCCACCACCCGUACACCCUCAGCAGACCCUGAAGACUUGCUUUUAAACAAAGAAAAUCCUGGGCACUUCUGCAGGGCCGCUGGUUCCGAGCUGACACCCGUCUUAAUAAAAGGCCCAGGAGUGCCUCUUCCAAACAAAAACAGCCUCCUCUCCAUAGCUGGGAAGUUUAUUUUGUUUUGUCUCUGAAGACAGCAGUUUUAUUGCAUCACUAAAUCUAAUCAAGCUAAAACAUCCCUGUUUCCUUUCGCAAAACAGUGCCUGGCAUGUGGGAUCCAGGCGUUCUUUAGGAUCCUUGGAUACCACAUCAUGAAAUCUUUUAUUUUUUUACUCUGAGACCAGCACCAGAUGUAAGUAAGCAUCUCAUAUAUUUCAGCCAAAUAAAUGGGCCAAGGGAAAAAAAAUAUAUAUAUAUAUAUAUAGACAGGACUAGAGAAAACCUAUUUUUGUAAUGAUGUUUCUUUGGAUACUGUCUAGUCACCCAGGAAAAUGUAUGGAUGAAUUUUUUUUUUUUUUUUUUUGAGACAAAGUCUCACGGUG
rnacentral:sRNA from 1 species